CCGGCGGCCAGAGCCGUCGCGAGCAGCAGCGGAGCAACAAGCAAGCACUUCAUUGCAGAUUUAUCUGAAGAAGUUCCAGGCAGGUUUGAUGUUUGAGCGGAAUUUGCGCAGUUUAUCUACGAGCUGUUGAAGUGCUUUGUCAAGGUCUGGGCCGAUUAGAUGCUGUUUGAGUACCAGGCGAGUGGAAUUGUUCAAAACCAGUAUGGAUGGUCUAUCGAUUGCAUUCCAUCUAAAUCUUUGAGCCGAUUUAUCCAGAGCCUAGAGUUUCUGGCCAACGAAUUUUCUAUCCUCUAAGCAGUGGAAGAAAAACGGUGCACGCCAAUGGUUUUGCUGCCAAGAAAAAUUAGUUUUUAAUUCUGCAUGCCGUUGGUAACAAAAAGUUAUUUUAGGAUUUUUUGCUAGCAUCGACAGUUUAUGGUAAAUAAAAUUAAAAUUCUUGAAUUGUC